CCCCACAAUCCCAACGCCAGUGACUGUGCUUGAGGUGUGCUGAAGCCGACACGAGCGAGGAGCUGCGUCGAUGAAGCGCCACCACGACGAGCUGCGCCCAUCGAGCGAGGUCGUGGAGCGGCCAGCCUACGUCGGAGGCUGUUUGUGUCCUCGGCCUGACGACGAUGCGCAGAGGGGAUGCACUGGGACCCGAUGCUGGAACCGGCAUGGGGAUCUGCUUCAACCAGCGCCGGGAUUUCCUUCAACGCCGAGGAUGGUGGUGGACGGCGACAACGGUUGCCGUCGCGGAGGGGACAAUGUCGGGCGACCACGGUCGCGGGUGCCAUGAUUUUUGCUGCAUAGAUUUUUUGUUGGAACCAGCAUUUUGACUUGUUGCAAUCGGCAAGGAUGGUGCUGGGACGGCGGCGGCGACGACGUGAUUUUUUUUGCUGCAUUGAUCUUUUUCUUCUUCUUAGGAACCAUUUUUCAUUUUUGCUGGAACUAUAUCAAUUUUUUGUUGGAACCAUAUGUGUUUUUUGCUGGAACUAUAUUAAUGUAUUUCGCUGGAAUCAUAGCAUUUUUGCUGCAACCAUAUUAUUAUUUGCUGGAACCAUAUUAAUUAUUUGCUUGCUGCAACCACAUUAUUGUUUGCUGAAACCAUAUUAAUUAUUUGCUGGAACCAUGUGUUUUGCUUUCAAGCUGGCAACCGACGAACGGCGAUGCCGACGGCGAGC
rnacentral:rRNA from 1 species